rnacentral:rRNA from 1 species
ACGCUAUGGGGGCGGCCGAUGUCCGAUUAGCUGGUUGGUGGGGUAAUGGCCCACCAAGGCGACGAUCGGUAGCUGGUCUGAGAGGAUGAUCAGCCACACUGGGACUGAGACACGGCCCAG